AUUGAACGCUGGCGGCAGGCCUAACACAUGCAAGUCGAACGAGUGGCGGACGGGUGAGUAAUGUCUGGGAAACUGCCUGAUGGAGGGGGAUAACUACUGGAAACGGUAGCUAAUCCCGCAUACCAUCAGAUGUGCCCAGAUGGGAUUAGCUAGUAGGUGGGGUAACGGCUCACCUAGGAGACGAUCCCUAGCUGGUCUGAGAGGAUGACCAGCCAAAAUGGGACUGAGACACGGUCCAGACUCCUACGGGAGGCAGCAGUGGGGAAUAUUGCACAAUGGGCGAAAGCCUGAUGCAGCCAUGCCGCGUGUAUGAAGAAGGCCUUCGGGUGGUAAAGUACUUUCAGCGGGGAGGCGUUACCCGCAGAAGAAGCACCGGCUAACUCCGUGCCAGCAGCCGCGGUAAGAC
rnacentral:rRNA from 1 species